UACGGAGGGGCUAGCGUUGUUCGGAAUUACUGGGCGUAAAGGCUCGUAGGUGGCCAACUAAGUCAUACGUGAAUCCCUCGGCUUAACCGGGAACUGCGUCUGAUACUGGAUGGCUUGAGGUUGGGAGAGGGAUGCGGAAUUCCAGGUGUAGCGGUGAAAUGCGUAGAUAUCUGGAGGAACACCGGUGGCGAAGGCGGCAUCCUGGACCAAUUCUGACACUGAGGAGCGAAAGCCAGGGAG
rnacentral:rRNA from 1 species